UUUGAUUACGUCCCUGCCCUUUGUACACACCGCCCGUCGCUGCCCGGGACUGAGCCAUUUCGAGAAAUUUGGGGACUGUUGAUUUAACUUUUUUUUAAAAAGUUUUUUUGAUGGAAACCAAUUUAAUCGCAGUGGCUUGAACCGGGCAAAAGUCGUAACAAGGUAGCUGUAGGUGAACCUGCUGCUGGAUCAUU
rnacentral:rRNA from 1 species